rnacentral:misc_RNA from 1 species
UUACUCAAACUAAUGGCUUUAUAUGAAUGGAUGUUACAAUCCAACUUGAGCCUGUUUGAUUUCACAAAAGUUUCAUCGCUGGGUUUUACAGCCCGGUUAGAACUGUUGGUAUGCUUAUGGAAGCUUCUUUUAACUAAGUUGCUAGCUAAUUUGAAUGAAUAAUAAAAUUAGUGAAAACAUUUCAUACUGCUGUUUAUAAAAAUAUAUAAAUCAAACAUA